AGCAGUGGGGAAUAUUGCACAAUGGGCGCAAGCCUGAUGCAGCCAUGCCGCGUGUAUGAAGAAGGCCUUCGGGUUGUAAAGUACUUUCAGCAGUGAGGAAGGUGGAUAUGUUAAUAGCAUAUUCAUUUGACGUUAGCUGCAGAAGAAGCACCGGCUAACUCCGUGCCAGCAGCCGCGGUAAUACGGAGGGUGCGAGCGUUAAUCGGAAUUACUGGGCGUAAAGCGCAUGCAGGUGGUUUGUUAAAGUCAGAUGUGAAAAGCCCGGGGCUCAAACCUCGGAAUUGCAUUUGAAACUGGCAAACUAGAGUACUGUAGAGGGGGUAGAAUUUCAGGUGUAGCGGUGAAAUGCGUAGAGAUCUGAAGGAAUACCGGUGGCGAAGGCGGCCCCCUGGACAGAUACUGACACUCAGAUGCGAAAGCGUCGGGGAGCAAACAGGAUUAGAUACCCUGGUAG
rnacentral:rRNA from 1 species